rnacentral:rRNA from 1 species
UACGGAGGGUGCGAGCGUUAAUCGGAAUUACUGGGCGUAAAGCGCGCGUAGGUGGCUUGAUAAGUCGGAUGUGAAAGCCCCGGGCUCAACCUGGGAACUGCAUUCGAUACUGUCUGGCUAGAGUGUGAUAGAGGAAAGCGGAAUUCCCGGUGUAGCGGUUAAAUGCGUAGAUAUCGGGAGGAACAUCAGUGGCGAAGGCGGCUUUCUUGAUUAGCACUGACGCUGAGGCGCGAAAGCGUGGGUAGCAAACAGG